rnacentral:rRNA from 1 species
CUCAGGAUGAACGCUGGCGGCGUGCUUAACACAUGCAAGUCGAACGAAGCAGCUUCUGCUGCAAGAAAGUUGACUUAGUGGCGGACGGGUGAGUAACGCGUGGGUAACCUGCCUCAUACAGGGGGAUAACAGUUGGAAACGACUGCUAAGACCGCAUAACCCGCUAGUGUCGCAUGACACGGACGGAAAAUAUUUAUAGGUAUGAGAUCGGGCCCGCGUCUGAUUAGCUAGUUGGUAAGGUAACGGCUUACCAAGGCGACGAUCAGUAGCCGACUUGAGAGAGUGAUCGGCCACAUUGGGACUGAGACACGGCCCAAACUCCUACGGGAGGCAGCAGUGGGGAAUAUUGGACAAUGGGGGAAACCCUGAUCCAGCCGACGCCGCGUGAGUGAAGAAGUAUUUCGGUAUGUAAAGCUCUAUCAGCAGGGAAGAUAAUGACAGUACCUGACUAAGAAGCCCCGGCUAACUACGUGCCAGCCGCCGC